rnacentral:rRNA from 1 species
AGAGUUUGAUCAUGGCUCAGAACGAACGCUGGCGGCUGCUAACACAUGCAAGUCGAACGUGAUCCUGGGCUUCGGCGGGUGAAAGUGGCAGACGGGUGAGUAACGCGUGGGAACCUGCCNNNNNNUAGGGAAUAACCGCGGGAAACUGCGGCUAAUACCCUAUGUGCCCUGCGGGGCAAAGAUUUAUCGCCAUGGGAGGGGCCCGCGUCGGAUUAGGUAGUUGGUGGGGUAACGGCCCACCAAGCCUUCGAUCCGUAGCUGGUCUGAGAGGAUGAUCAGCCACACUGGGACUGAGAUACGGCCCAGACUCCUACGGGAGGCAGCAGUGGGGAAUAUUGGACAAUGGGGGCAACCCUGAUCCAGCAAUGCCGCGUGGGUGAUGAAGGCCUUCGGGUUGUAAAGCCCUUUCGGCGGGGAAGAUGAUGACGGUACCCGCAGAAGAAGCCCCGGCUAACUUCGUGCCAGCAGCCGCGGUAAUACGAAGGGGGCUAGCGUUGUUCGGAAUUACUGGGCGUAAAGGGCGCGUAGGCUGUGCUGUAAGUCAGGCGUGAAAGGCCGGGCUCAACCUGGGAAUGGCGCUUGAUACUGCGGCGCUGGAAGGCGGGAGAGGAGGCGGAAUUCCCAGUGUAGAGGUGAAAUUCGUAGAUAUUGGGAAGAACACCGGGCGAAGCGGCAUCUGGCCCGCGAUUGACGCUGAGGCGCGAAAGCGUGGGGAGCAAACAGGAUUAGAUACCCUAGUAGUCC